GCCCAGGUGGCGGAAUUGGUAGACGCGCUAGUUUCAGGUAUUAGUGCCGAGAGGCGUGGAGGUUCGAGUCCUCUCCUGGGCACCA
rnacentral:tRNA from 1 species